UACGUAGGGGGCAAGCGUUGUCCGGAUUUAUUGGGCGUAAAGAGCGUGUAGGCGGCUAGGUAGGUCCGUUGUGAAAACUCGAGGCUCAACCUCGAGACGCCGAUGGAAACCAUCUGGCUAGAGUCCGGAAGAGGAGAGUGGAAUUCCUGGUGUAGCGGUGAAAUGCGCAGAUAUCAGGAAGAACACCCGUGGCGAAGGCGGCUCUCUGGGACGUGACUGACGCUGAGACGCGAAAGCGUGGGGAGCGAACAGG
rnacentral:rRNA from 1 species